AUAAAAUGGCUUGCUCAAGAAACCAGGUUUGAAGUGGAGGUUUGCCGUCACUCCCCAGAUCUGUAUGGAAGUGUCAGAAGUGGAGUCAGCUAGUUAGUUCACCCCAAUAGGUACUGAGAGCUAUUAAGUCUGUACCACUGUGUCGGGAGAGACCAGGAGGAAUCGAGCAGAGCAUGGUCUAAUAAACAGAGAAGGCUCAGGAGGGUCAGAAACACGGUGCCUCAUUUCUCAGCCUACUUGCCAAGAAUUCCCAAAAAGGAAGCACUGGAGGAUCAUUCCAAGGCUUGAGGUCCAGGACUACCCACUUCCCUUGGAAUGGUGUUGCCAUCACUGUUCUGGCACCGGAGGUAAGGAUUCUACAUCGUUAGGAGAAAAGAAAAAGGAGAAUUUGGGCUUGCACUGAGAGGAUUACCUUUGGUGGUCUGGAAGUGGUGGCUGCACAGGGAGCAUGGCUGGGAGGCCUCAGGAAACUGACAAUCAUCAGUAGAAGAUGAAGAGGAAGGAGGCGCAUCUUACAUGGCCAGAGAAGGAGGAAGAAUAAGAAGGGGUUCCUUGACUUUGGCCUUCAGUCCUGACUUAAUUUCUUUGCUUAUGGGUAAAACAAGGAAUUCCUGUCACACUGCCAACAUCACCCCCUUUCUUCUCACCCCAAGGAGAGUGCAGAGAGGAGGCGAGACCAAGCCUGCCCAGAGUUGGAGUCUUGAGACGUGAGAUUCUCCAGCUGGAGCCCUAUAAAUUGGACUGACAAAAGACAGAUUAGCAAGAGAAAUGCAAGCAGCAGUUUAUUAACAUGUGCAUCAUGAUUACACAUGGAAGUACCCAGAGGUCAUAAGACCUCAUGUGACAAGUGCCCUCCUUACUCCCAGAGAAAAGGAAGGAAGACACAGAAACACCACGAAGAAUAUGGACAAACAGACCUUGCUAAGUUCCCCCCCAUUUAUUACCAUGACAUCAUACUCCCUUUGUCCAAUCACACUUUCAUCAAACCUGAGCAUGAAAAUACACAGGUUUCUCUGUUUGGGGGGUGGGUCUUCAUUUUUGAAGUUUCCAUGUCAUGUAAAACUUAUAUUAAAGAAAUGUGUAUGUUUUACCCUUGUUAAUUU
rnacentral:lncRNA from 10 species